rnacentral:rRNA from 1 species
UACGGGGGGAGCAAGCGUUGUUCGGAUUUACUGGGCGUAAAGGGCGCGUAGGCGGCCACCGCAAGUCGACUGUGAAAUCUCCGGGCUUAACCCGGAAAGGUCAGCCGAUACUGCGGGGCUAGAGUGCAGAAGGGGCAACUGGAAUUCUCGGUGUAGCGGUGAAAUGCGUAGAUAUCGAGAGGAACACCUGCGGCGAAGGCGGGUUGCUGGGCUGACACUGACGCUGAAGUGCGAAAGCGUGGGGAGCAAACAGG